GAGUUUGAUCGUGGCUCAGAUUGAACGCUGGCGGCGUGCCUAACACAUGCAAGUCGAGCGGUAACAGGUGUAGCAAUACAUGCUGACGAGCGGCGGACGGGUGAGCAAUAUUUGGGAAUCUGCCUAUUAGUGGGGGACAACCCGGGGAAACCCGGGCUAAUACCGCAUACGCACUACGGUGGAAAGCCGGGGACCGCAAGGCCUGGCGCUAAUAGAUGAGCCCAAAUCGGAUUAGCUAGUUGGUGAGGUAAUGGCUCACCAAGGCUACGAUCCGUAGCUGGUCUGAGAGGACGACCAGCCACACCGGAACUGAGACACGGUCCGGACUCCUACGGGAGGCAGCAGUGGGGAAUAUUGGACAAUGGGCGAAAGCCUGAUCCAGCGACGCCGCGUGAAGGAUGAAGGCCUUCUGGGUUGUAAACUUCUUUUAUUGGGGAAGAAAACUAUGGUUUCUACUAUAGCCGACGGUACCCAAGGAAUAAGCACCGGCUAACUCCGUGCCAGCAGCCGCAGUAAC
rnacentral:rRNA from 1 species